AUGGGUAUGGGAUGGAGAGUUCUGAACGAUGUGAAGCCAUACCUAGCGAUGGUGCUGCUGCAGGUGGGGUUCGCCGGGAUGAACAUCGUGGCCGUGUCGUCCCUCAAGGCCGGGAUGAGCCACUUCGUCCUCGUCGUCUACCGUAACAUCGUCGCCACCGCCUUCAUGGCGCCCUUCGCCUUCUAUUUCGAGAGGGAACGGAGGCCAAAGAUGACAACCACCAUCUUCAUAAAGAUUAUGUGGCUCGCAUUUCUCGAGCCGGUGCUCGACCAGAACCUGUAUUUCAUGGGCGCGAAGCUGACCUCGGCGGGGUUCGCGACGGCGCUCCUCAACACACUCCCGGCCGUCACCUUCGUGCUGGCCCUCAUCCUGCGCAUGGAGAAGGUGCGGCUGCGGAGCCUGCACAGCCAGGCCAAGAUCGCUGGCACAGUCCUCGCGGUGGCCGGCGCCGUGCUGAUGGUUCUGUACCACGGCCCUGUCGUGCGGUUCCCGUGGACUAGUGGCCAUCACCAUGCCACCAUCGGUGGCCAGGUCGCCGCCGCGCGGGACUGGCUGAUCGGGACCGUAAUGCUCAUCGCCUCCUGCAUGAUCUGGCCGGGCUUCUUCAUCCUCCAGGCCAACACGCUCGGGAGCUACCCGGCGGAGCUGUCUCUCACGGCGCUCAUCUGCGGUAUGGGCUCGCUGAUGAGCGGCGCCGUCGCCCUCGUUGCUGAGCGCGCCGACACCCAGGUCUGGGUUGUCGGCUUCGAUAGCCGCCUCUUGACCGUCGUCUACGCCGGCAUAGUGUGCUCCGGCGUGGCGUACUACUUGCAGGGCGUCGUGUCAAGGCAAAGGGGCCCGGUGUUCGUGACGGCCUUCAGCCCGUUCAGCAUGAUCAUAACCGCCGUCAUGGGCUCCAUCAUUCUCAAAGAGGAGAUCACUCUCGGAAGUGUGAUUGGUGCAGUGAUCAUCGUGACAGGCCUCUACUUUAUCAUCUGGGGCAAGAGCAAGGACGACAUCAGCCCCAGUCAAGUCUCCGACGUCAGCGUCAAGGGAGCCGGUGAACUGCCCUUAACCUCGGUGACCAACGGCCACGGCAAGCAGUACGAGCUCGGCAACGGCAACGGCAACGGCGGCCAUGUCGACGUCGAGACGCCCACGACCAAUGGGCACUACUAG
rnacentral:rRNA from 1 species